rnacentral:rRNA from 1 species
GUAGGUGGCAAGCGUUGUCCGGAAUUAUUGGGCGUAAAGCGCGCGCAGGCGGUUCUUUAAGUCUGAUGUGAAAGCCCACGGGCUCAACCGUGGAGGGUCAUUGGAAACUGGAGAACUUGAGUACAGAAGAGGAAAGCGGAAUUCCACGUGUAGCGGUGAAAUGCGUAGAGAUGUGGAGGAACACCAGUGGCGAAGGCGGCUUUCUGGUCUGUAACUGACGCUGAGGCGCGAAAGCGUGGGGAGCAAACAGGAUUAGAUACCCUGGUAGUCCACGCCGUAAACGAUGAGUGCUAAGUGUCAGGGGGUUUCCGCCCCUUAGUGCUGCAGCCAACGCAUUAAGCACUCCGCCUGGGGAGUACGGCCGCAAGGCUG